CGCAUCUCACGCUUGAGCGCCUCUCCGAGUCCGGUCGUCACGAGAGCGGUGCCAAGAAGGGCAGUCCCAGGAAGAAGAGCCCUCGCUCGAAGGCCGCAACGUCCUCUUCCGGUGCCGUGUCACCUCGCUCCACGUCUGGCA
rnacentral:ribozyme from 1 species